UCCUAAUGAUGAGUUCCACUUCACUGGUCCGUGUUUCUGAAACUUUGUGACAUGAAUGGAAGUUCUGAUAGA